rnacentral:snRNA from 1 species
CUUUGCAGACGACUUAAA